rnacentral:snRNA from 1 species
UCCGUGGGUCGCCUAUCGAGCGU